rnacentral:rRNA from 1 species
AUCCUGGCUCAGAUUGAACGCUGGCGGCAUGCUUUACACAUGCAAGUCGAACGGCAGCACGGGUGCUUGCACCUGGUGGCGAGUGGCGGACGGGUGAGUAAUACAUCGGAACGUAUCCUAAAGUGGGGGAUAACGCAUCGAAAGAUGUGCUAAUACCGCAUACACUCUGAGGAGGAAAGUAGGGGAUCGAAAGACCUUAUGCUUUUGGAGCGGCCGAUGUCUGAUUAGCUAGUUGGUAAGGUAAUGGCUUACCAAGGCAACGAUCAGUAGUUGGUCUGAGAGGACGACCAGCCACACUGGGACUGAGACACGGCCCAGACUCCUACGGGAGGCAGCAGUGGGGAAUUUUGGACAAUGGGCGCAAGCCUGAUCCAGCAAUGCCGCGUGAGUGAAGAAGGCCUGGUGUAAGACUCUUCUAGUUGAGAAGAAAAGAA